rnacentral:rRNA from 1 species
ACCAUGCAGUCGACGGAAGGCCCUUCGGGGUACUCGAGUGGCGAACGGGUGAGUCACACGUGGGUGAUCUGCCCUGCACUUUGGGAUAAGCCUGGGAAACUGGGUCUAAUACCGAAUAUGACCGCGCUCUUCAUGGGGUGUGGUGGAAAGCUUUUGCGGUGUGGGAUGGGCCCGCGGCCUAUCAGCUUGUUGGUGGGGUAAUGGCCUACCAAGGCGACGACGGGUAGCCGGCCUGAGAGGGUGACCGGCCACACUGGGACUGAGAUACGGCCCAGACUCCUACGGGAGGCAGCAGUGGGGAAUAUUGCACAAUGGGCGCAAGCCUGAUGCAGCGACGCCGCGUGAGGGAUGACGGCCUUCGGGUUGUAAACCUCUUUCAAUAGGGACGAAGCGCAAGUGACGGUACCUAUAGAAGAAGGACCGGCCAACUACGUGCCAGCAGCCGCGGUAAUACGUAGGGUCCGAGCGUUGUCCGGAAUUACUGGGCGUAAAGAGCUCGUAGGUGGUUUGUCGCGUUGUUCGUGAAAACUCACAGCUUAACUGUGGGCGUGCGGGCGAUACGGGCAGACUAGAGUACUGCAGGGGAGACUGGAAUUCCUGGUGUAGCGGUGGAAUGCGCAGAUAUCAGGAGGAACACCGGUGGCGAAGGCGGGUCUCUGGGCAGUAACUGACGCUGAGGAGCGAAAGCGUGGGGAGCGAACAGGAUUAGAUACCCUGGUAGUCCACGCCGUAAACGGUGGGUACUAGGUGUGGGUUUCCUUCCUUGGGAUCCGUGCCGUAGCUAACGCAUUAAGUACCCCGCCUGGGGAGUACGGCCGCAAGGCUAAAACUCAAAGGAAUUGACGGGGGCCCGCACAAGCGGCGGAGCAUGUGAUUAAUUCGAUGCAACGCGAAGAACCUUACCUGGGUUGACAUGCACAGGACGCCAGUAGAGAUAUGUUCCCUUGUGGCCUGUGUGCAGUGGUGCAUGCUGUCGUCAGCUCGUGUCGUGAGAUGUGGGUAAGUCCC